UAAAGAGUUCUAUAACUCCCAAACCCAUGUGAACAUACCUAACGUUGCCUCGGCAGGUCGCACCUACCUUGUAGCACCCUACCCUGUAGGGCCUACCCGGGAGGUGCGGGUAAGCCUGCCGGCGGCCCACCAAACUCUGUUUGAUAUUAAAUUCUGAACCUAUAACUAAAUAAGUUAAAACUUUCAACAACGGAUCUCUUGGUUCUGGCAUCGAUGAAGAACGCAGCGAAAUGCGAUAAGUAAUGUGAAUUGCAGAAUUCAGUGAAUCAUCGAAUCUUUGAACGCAUAUUGCGCCCAUUAGUAUUCUAGUGGGCAGGACCGUUCGAGCGUCAUUUCAACCCUUAAGCCUUCGUUGCUUAGUGUUGGGAGCCUACGGCAACGUAGCUCCUCAAAGUUAGUGGCGGAGUUGGUUCACACUCUAGACGUAGUAAUUUUUUAUCUCGCCUAUUAGUUGGACUAAUCCCCUGCCGUAAAACCCCCAAUUUAUCAAGGUUGACCUCGAAUCGGUUCAGACAAACUCGCUAAAUUGAAGCAUCUUAGUCAGCGAAGGAAAAGAAACCAACAGGGAUUGCCCUAGUAACGGCGAGUGAAGCGGCAAC
rnacentral:rRNA from 1 species